GGAUUGUUUUCAAAUUACAAUAUUGAUAAUGAUAAAACACGUUUGUUUGACUCUCGCGAUACGAAAGUAAACUUUAAAAUGAAUUAUUAGUUUGUUCGCGUAUUCUACAGUAUUUAACUACUUUUUUUUUUUGCUUUUCAUGGCUCGUUCUUACGAUAUUAAACCGGAAAGCGGCUGUCGCCGCCGUUUGUUUUGAAAUUUUUCCUAGACGGAUUAUGACGCUUACUGUAACAUAUUAUGUUUUACUCGCAGUAUUAUUCUCAAGAUAACAUAAUACCAUAUUGUUUUGAUAGUUUUUAUAAUGGCUUG